rnacentral:rRNA from 1 species
UACGAAGGGGGCUAGCGUUGUUCCGAAUUACUGGGUGUCAAGCGCACGUAGGCUGAUAUUGGAGUCAGGGGUGAAAUCCCUCACCUCAACUGCAGAACUGCCUUUGAUACUGGGUAUCUUGAGUAUGGAAGACGUGACUGGAAUUGCGAGCGGCGACGUGAAAUUCUGAGAUAUUCUGAGGAACACCGUGGGCGAAUGCCGUUCGCUGGUCCAUUACUGACACUGAUGUGCGAGAGCGUGAGUAGCAAACGGG